rnacentral:lncRNA from 1 species
CCCCCCACCCCGCCCCCCGAAGCGUGUGCCCAGACCCUACCUGGGCUGAGCAGGAAGGCGCCAAGCAGGAGCAGACCGAGCUCCAAAGGUUUCAUUCCUGAGCGUGGACGGAGGAGGGCGAGCAACUUGGCGUCCAGUUGGUGGUUCCUUCGCCCCCGGGGUCUCCCCCGUUGCCUUUCCUGCCCGUCCCUCGGUCCGUCCGUCUGUCCGGCCGGGACCCUGCCCCCUGCCCUCCUUGCCCACCCCCCACCGCCCCCAAUCCUCCUCGCUCCCUUUCUAAUAUUGGGGUCCGGCUGGGACGGGGCGGCGGGGAUUCAGCGCCCACGGCAAGCCCGGCGUCUCGGAGACCAACUCACUUCUCGCAGACCCGUCCAUCCCCCAAGCUCCCUCGACAUCGCAGACACACAUACACACACACACACAUGCACAACACACACACACACAAUACACACACACACCGCGUCCUCGGGCGGCUCCUCUCCGGGCGGGAGAUAGGCGAGGCGAUCCGGUCGCCGGCGGGGAGGAGGAGGAGGAGGGAGGGAGGAGGAGGAGGGAGGGAGGAAGAGGAGGAGGAAUGGAGGAGGAGGAGGAGGAGGAGGAGGAAGGGAGGAGGAGGAGGAAGAGGAGGGAAGAGGGAAGAGGGAGGGGAGAGGGGAGGAGCGAGGGGGGAGGGGGGAGGAGCAAGGAGGGAGGGGCAUCAGCAUCCAAGAGGCCCUAAGCUCUCAACACCUCCCCCUCCCCUCCUCGUCCCGUCCCCCCACCCCCAAAUCCGAGGGGUGAGGGAAGGGUGCGGGGAGGGGGCUGAUCUUCUUUUGUCUCCCAACAGGAGGACGGACCCCUCGACUGCCGCCUCUGCAUUGGACACCCACGAGUCACAGCACAUUUGUUCCAGGAGGACAACCAGCUUCCAGCCUGCUGCUAGUUCCUCUGACAAACAAUGGGGUAUAACUGGCAUAUUCUCAUCUCAGAAUGGCAUCCUAAAGCUAUUCCACAAUGUUGCCAGGCAAGCACUUUUUAAAGCAUCUGACUGUAUUAAUUUUGCUUCUCUUUCCUGAGGUUUGCAGGAAACUGAAUGGUAAAGGGUGUGCUGGCAAAAAAUUAAAGUGGGCAGAAAAAGAAGGAGAAGAUUGACAGGAAGUAGAGUUUGAAUAGGACAGCUUGCGCUGACUGCAGAGGCAUGUGGGGCUGUCCUGCUCUUGGUAUUUCAAGCCUACUCUGUGCUCCACUCCUGGCAGUUCAGUGAUUAAAAUGAGGUUUUGCCUACACAUUGCAGGCACCUGACAAAAGCACUAAAUAGCCUCAGAAUACAAUUUAGAGAGCUGGUUUUGGAUCUAUCUUAAGUUUCCUAAAUGAUGGCCAACUCCAGAAAGAGGCUGUUUAGCAAACACACCUGACUCUCAUCUUUCUCCCAUGCCUUUGAGUUUGGGGUGAGGGGAAUCCCUUAGGCACCUAGAAGUAGUGUUAACAAUACUGAUAAAAAUAACUGUGGUACUGGUUAAGUGUUUGCUAUGGGCUAAGUACUGAGCUAAGCUUUGGGGUACAUAAAAUACAAUCAGAUCCGACACAGUCCCUGUCCCGCUUGAAUCUCACAGUCUAAUGAGGAGGGAGAACAGGAAUUUUAACCCUAGGUUACAUUUGAGGAAACUGAGGCCCAGAAAAGCCAAAUGGGUUGCCCAAGGUUGCACAGUGAGCAAGUGAUGGAGCUUGGGUUUAGAAUUCAAGUCUCCUCACUCUCAGUCCUGUGCUCUUUCCACUAGGCCCUGUUUAUUGAGCCCCUGUUGGAUGUAAUGUGCCAUACAAAGUACUUGGGAAGAUAUCACAACUACAUGAGCUAUAAUCCACACCCAUGAGGAGAGAAAGGCGUAAGAGUAUUUGUGAAUCAAGUAAACAGGAUCGAUAGGAGAAUUGAUUAUGCUUAUGUAAUAACAAUUGCAGUAUUUGUUAAGCACUUACUAUAUGCCCAGUGCCGGGGUAGGUAUAAGGAAUCAGGUCAGACUCAGUCCCUUCCCACACGGGGCUUGCAGUCUGAGAGGGAAAACAGGUAUCGAAUCCCCAUUUUGCAGAUGUGGAAACUGAGGUGCAGAGAAGUGAAGUGAAUUUGCCCAAGGUCACAGAACAGGCAAGUGGCAGAGGCAUAAUUAGAACCCUGGUCCUCUGACUCCCAGGCUGAUGCUCGUUCUAGUGGGUCCCAUUACUCGCUACUCUAUAAUUCUGCCUCCCACCUCCUAACUGUGG